rnacentral:rRNA from 1 species
GACAGAGGGUGCAAACGUUGCUCGGAAUCACUGGGCGUAAAGGGCGUGUAGGCGGGAAUGUAAGUCGGGCGUGAAAUCCCUAGGCUCAACCUAGGAACUGCACUCGAAACUGCGUUUCUUGAGUUACUGGAGAGGAAAGCGGAAUACCUGGUGUAGAGGUGAAAUUCGUAGAUAUCAGGUGGAACACCAGCGGCGAAGGCGGACUUUCUGGACAGUAACUGACGCA